rnacentral:lncRNA from 1 species
GAAUAUCCCUCAGUGGUGGAGCACUUGCCUAACAGGCAGAGGGUCAAUCAAGUACCCAGAGGUGUGGGUGCGGUGUGUUAGAUAUAUUGAUACAUGCUUUCAAAAAGGUUCUAAGUUACCAUCACAGGACAAGACUUUCCCGCUAGAACUCUUCAUCGGGCUUCAUACCAGACCCGCCACUAAUGAACGAAGUCCAGAAGUGAGGGAUGCCCCAUUCCCAACGCUCCAACCAGAGGGCGCUUCCACGUGGGUGCCGAUGCACGCACCUGCGGGACGCGGACCUCCAGCACGGUCGGGUCGGCUCCGGGGCCUGGCUCGUCCCGGAACCGAAAGAGCCGGGCUCCGGCCAUGAGGCCGAGCUCACACGGAGGGGUGUCCAGGGACGCCGGGUUAAGGGGCGGUGCUCAGGGGCUCCAGGUCGGACGCCGUCCAAACCAAAUACAGGAAGCAGGCGGCCG